rnacentral:rRNA from 1 species
CGUGUAGGCGGCUUUGUAAGCUUGGUGUAAAAGGUGUCGGCCCAACCGGCAUUAUGCGCUGGGAACUGCAAGGCUUGAGUUUAGGAGGGGGAGCUGGAAUUCCUGGUGUAGGGGUGAAAUCUGUAGAUAUCAGGAAGAACACCGGAGGCGAAGGCGAGCUCCUGGCCAUAGACUGACGCUGAGACGCGAAAGCGUGGGGAGCAAACA